rnacentral:lncRNA from 1 species
UUUUAGCAUUCGUCUUUGCCUUAUUUCAAACAUGAAACAUGACAAUCAUUCUCGUGACUUGUCUUGGGUUUGAGUGGCAGCUGCCUGAAACCGGUGUUUAUAAUUUUGAACAGACGCUAAUUUCAGAUCAUAAUUAAUGACUCGUGCUGGAAUAAAACAAACUUGUUAAGUUAGACUGCUGUUAUAAAAGAUUAUCUCAAGAUCACCCAAAGAAGGAAUGUCUGUCCCAGCAAACACAAAUGGUUCGUGGGACGUUCUAUUUUGAUUCCAGUUAUCCCGCAUGGGAUUAUCCUUGGUAGGAUGUCCCUAGGCCGUCCCUGGUAUCGCACAAAUAUCUCAUGCAGAUCAGUAAUGAAUAGGACGUAUAUGUAGUAAUAGUAAAUGGCACGCACGAAAAAAAAUCUAUACACUUACCAUCAAACAGCCAUUUCACAUAAUAAAAUAUCCAUAUCACUUAUACUGAAUACCCAUGCUUUUAACAGAGACAAGGGAUAAUUAUUUCUUGUCUGCUUUUAAAGUGUCACAGUUGUUAAUAUGUCAUGGUAAAGACGCCAAAGAGGCGGAUAACUUAGGUUACGUUUAUAUUGUCCAUAUAUUCGUUCUUGCAGAGUUCAGUUGCAGUGUUUUGAGUUUCCUUACGUGUUAUUGUGUUAUUAUAGUACAAAUUUUCCAGUUUAUAAAGCUGCCUCAACGUU